rnacentral:lncRNA from 1 species
GGUGUGGGGCGGCCGGGUCGGGCCGGUGCGGGCGCCAUGGAGUACGUGACGGCCGAGCAGCUGGCCGGCUUCAGCAAGUAUAAGCAGGAGGUUGUACUGUUUGGGUAUGCACCUUUGGAUAUAACUUAAGCCAUGGGACAGAAAGGUUUCUCUGCUGUACCAAAUUCACCCCCUUGCCUGACAGUGCUGAGGCUUCCCCAGGAGAUGCUGCUCACAGUGGUCAGAAAGCCAAACAGAUCCUAAGUGAGUCUGCCCCAACAUUACCUCCUGCUCAUCAGGUUGGUGCAGAGGACUGAUAGCUCUGGCAGAUCGGAGGGCUUGUUAUCAGAAAUAAAG